rnacentral:rRNA from 1 species
AGUAGUUUUGAUCCUGGCUCAGGAUGACGCUGGCGGCGUGCUUAACACAUGCAAGUCGAACGAAGCAACUUAUCACGAUCCCUUCGGGGUGACGAUUUUGUUGACUGAGUGGCGGACGGGUGAGUAACGCGUGGGUAACCUACCUUGUACAGGGGGACAACAGUUGGAAACGACUGCUAAUACCGCAUAAGCGCACAGCUUCGCAUGAAGCAGUGUGAAAAGUUUUUUUCGGUACAAGAUGGACCCGCGUCUGAUUAGCUAGUUGGUGAGGUAACGGCUCACCAAGGCGACGAUCAGUAGCCGACCUGAGAGGGUGACCGGCCACAUUGGGACUGAGACACGGCCCAAACUCC